AUCAUUUAAAGAAAGCGUAAUAGCUCACUGGUCGAGUCGGCCUGCGCGGAAGAUGUAACGGGGCUAAGUAGUAAACCGAAGCUGCGGCAAUAUACUUUUGUAUAUUGGGUAGGGGAGCGUUCUGUAAGCGGUUGAAGGUGUGUGGUAACGCAUGCUGGACGUAUCAGAAGUGCGAAUGCUGACAUGAGUAACGAUAAAGGGGGUGAAAAACCUCCUCGCCGGAAGACCAAGGGUUCCUGUCCAACGUUAAUCGGGGCAGGGUAAGUCGACCCCUAAGGCGAGGCCGAAAGGCGUAGUCGAUGGGAAACGGGUUAAUAUUCCCGUACUUCUUACAAUUGCGAUGGGGGGACGGAGAAGGCUAGGUGGGCCUGGCGACGGUUGUCCAGGUUCAAGUGCGUAGGCUUAAGAGUUAGGUAAAUCCGGCUCUUUUUAAGGCUGAGACACGACGUCGAGCACCUACGGGUGUGAAGUCAUUGAUGCCAUGCUUCCAGGAAAAGCCUCUAAGCUUCAGAUUGUAAGGAAUCGUACCCCAAACCGACACAGGUGGUCGGGUAGAGAAUACCAAGGCGCUUGAGAGAACUCGGGUGAAGGAACUAGGCAAAAUGGUACCGUAACUUCGGGAGAAGGUACGCUCUUGAUGGUGAAGUCCCUUGCGGAUGGAGCUGACGAGAGUCGCAGAUACCAGGUGGCUGCAACUGUUUAUUAAAAACACAGCACUGUGCAAAAUCGUAAGAUGACGUAUACGGUGUGACGCCUGCCCGGUGCCGGAAGGUUAAUUGAUGGGGUUAGACUUCGGUCGAAGCUCUUGAUCGAAGCCCCGGUAAACGGCGGCCGUAACUAUAACGGUCCUAAGGUAGCGAAAUUCCUUGUCGGGUAAGUUCCGACCUGCACGAAUGGCGUAAUGAUGGCCACGCUGUCUCCACCCGAGACUCAGUGAAAUUGAAAUCGCUGUGAAGAUGCAGUGUACCCGCGGCUAGACGGAAAGACCCCGUGAACCUUUACUACAGCUUGGCACUGAACAUUGACCCUACAUGUGUAGGAUAGGUGGGAGGCUUUGAAGCACGUACGCCAGUAUGUGUGGAGCCGUCCUUGAAAUACCACCCUUGUAGUGUUGAUGUUCUAACGUUGACCCCUUAUCGGGGUUGCGGACAGUGCCUGGUGGGUAGUUUGACUGGGGCGGUCUCCUCCCAAAGAGUAACGGAGGAGCACGAAGGUGGGCUAAUCACGGUUGGACAUCGUGAGGUUAGUGCAAUGGCAUAAGCCCGCUUGACUGCGAGAAUGACAAUUCGAGCAGGUGCGAAAGCAGGUCAUAGUGAUCCGGUGGUUCUGAAUGGAAGGGCCAUCGCUCAACGGAUAAAAGGUACUCCGGGGAUAACAGGCUGAUACCGCCCAAGAGUUCAUAUCGACGGCGGUGUUUGGCACCUCGAUGUCGGCUCAUCACAUCCUGGGGCUGAAGUCGGUCCCAAGGGUAUGGCUGUUCGCCAUUUAAAGUGGUACGCGAGCUGGGUUUAGAACGUCGUGAGACAGUUCGGUCCCUAUCUGCCGUGGGCGUUGGAAGAUUGAAGGGGGCUGCUCCUAGUACGAGAGGACCGGAGUGGACGAACCUCUGGUGUUCGGGUUGUGUCGCCAGACGCAUUGCCCGGUAGCUAAGUUCGGAAUCGAUAACCGCUGAAAGCAUCUAAGCGGGAAGCGAGCCCUGAGAUGAGUCUUCCCUGAUACUUUAAGUAUCCUAAAGGGUUGUCGGAGACUACGACGUUGAUAGGUCAGGUGUGUAAGUGCUGUGAGGCAUUGAGCUAACUGAUACUAAUUGCCCGUGAGGCUUAACCAUACAACACCCAAGGGGUUU
rnacentral:rRNA from 1 species